AUUCCGGUUGAUCCUGCCGGAGGACAUUGCUAUUGGGAUUCGAUUUAGCCAUGCUAGUCGAACGAGUUCAGACUCGUGGCGAAUAGCUCAGUAACACGUGGCCAAGCUCCCCUUCAGUCAGCGAUACCCUCGGGAAACUGAGGUUAACAGCUGAUACAAAACGCCAGCUGGAAUGCGGCGUUUCAGAAAGACAUCGCUGAAGGAUGCGGCUGCGGCCGAUUAGGUAGACGGUGGGGUAACGGCCCACCGUGCCAGUAAUCGGUACGGGUGAUGAGAGUCAGAGCCCGGAGACGGAAUCUGAGACAAGAUUCCGGGCCCUACGGGGCGCAGCAGGCGCGAAACCUUUACACUGCACGGAAGUGCGAUAGGGGAAUCCCAAGUGCGAGGGCAUAUUAGCCCUCGCUUUUCUCGACUGUAAGGCGGUCGACGAAUAAGAGCUGGGCAAGACCGGUGCCAGCCGCCGCGGUAAUACCGGCAGCUCAAGUGAUGUCCCAUAUUAUUGGGCCUAAAGCGUCCGUAGCU
rnacentral:rRNA from 1 species